ensembl:lncRNA
GGGAGACGAGGAAGACAGGAGGAGGGACGUCCUCCCCUGUUAAACUUGACACAUUGGAGGAGAAGAUUUUGGAUAUGAUAGGGGAAUCGCUGGUAGGAGGAGUUCAAGGAGGGGUGGACACUGGAGACAACAGCUGUAUGCAGCUGCUACAGCAGACACAAACGGCUGGAGUUGCACCCACCCAAGUUAUUGUACCCACUCAAGACAUUGUACCCCCCCACAUUGAACUUGAAGUUCAACAAAAUAAUUCUGAAGAAGAUCUUACUCUGUCACAACUCAUUUCAGAGUCCAUCCUCCAGCCAACACCAGUGACGACACACAGCAUGGAGGACAUGAUCUUUAUUCAAGGAGACGUUUUGGAGGAAGUGCGGCAACUUAGAAGAGUUCAAGAGCAACUUCUACUGGUGGAGAGAGAGAGACUGCUCUUGGCCAAAGCCAAAUUUGAGCAAAAAAAAAAAGGAA